AGUUUCACAAGAGUCAUUUGUGUCUGGUCUCUCUGCCGGUCAUUCUGCUGUGAUUUUUACAUUCUCUCUCUGGGACUCUUUCUGUUUGAAAAUUGCCAGUAAAACCUAAAAAAUUCAUGCUUCAUGCACUGAGAUAAACAAGCAAACAACACUUCUGGAAACACAAUCAAGGCGGUGCACGUUCUGAUUUGUAGAGCCUGGGGAGAAAUUAAUCUCAACAACUGUGUAGCAUCCUGUAAAGAUUCCUCUCCGUCUGACCUGAGCUGACAUGGGUCAGUGGGUGAGAUUAUAUUUUUCUUAACAUGACUGCAAAACAAAGAGUUUUGAAACUUGAGGCAUAGCUCUGCGCCCAACUGUCACACUAAUUGGUUUUGUUCCCUGAGAUGGAAAACGUAACUACUGACGAGCUUUAUCCACGCUUGCAGAUGAAGCUGACUGACAGUUUUACAGGGUAAGAGAUGGUGAUGAGACUGAAGCAGAAACCUGGAAUGACUGUAAGGUUGGUUUGAUGACCAGGAUCACUGCAUUCCCAUCAGAAAACGGUGGUUGUGAUCUCUUUAUUAGCUGUGAGUAUGAGCUCAUAAAAGGAGUAUUGGUGGACCUAGAUGACUAAUUUUUAACAUGGGCUGUUGUAAAGUUGUAUUUUAAAUGUAACUAAUUGGCAACAUAGAAAAAUUUUUGUGGGCCCAACAGCACAAUUUUCCCUACCAAAGUUAUUUUCAUUUUUCUCUUUUUGGUUAUUUCUUUGUUUUUGUUUUUUUUUAAAUCACAGUAAAUGGUCUGGUGAAAACAGAUAUAUGUGCAGCCUAAAGCAGCAACAAACCUCAGUCUCCCAUUUUUCAUGCCUAUAUUGCAAAGAAAAUAUUGUCUCUGUCACAGGCUCUCAUAAAUCACACACAAGAGCUCUUAGAGAAAGAAGAGAAGUCUCUGAAAAGAGACGGCCACGUCAUGUUCAUAAUUUGAGAUAUUUUGAAUAUCCUAAAACUUCAAGGUCAUUUUCCACUAGAUUUUUCUGUCCCACUGAGAGCUGCUCUCUGAAGUUGGGAUGAUGACAUUCAGUGAAGAGGGACUGGACACAGAAUCUAGCCUGGAGCUGGGCAGAAAGGUCAGAAGACAAAUAUAGCCCAAGGUUGAGAGCUGUUUGA
ensembl:lncRNA